CUUCAAGCUCUGAGGGAAAGGGCCCUCCUUCCUAAAUUUUCCUGUCCUCUUUCAGCUCCUGAUCCGUUGCAGUCACUCUAGUCAAUGACAUGAAUUUUAGCUUUUGUGGGGGACUGUAAGUUGGGCUUGCUAUUCUGUCCCUAGGUGUUUUGUUCACCAUUAUAAUGAAUUUAGUGAGCAUAGGUGAUCCAUGUAACUGCCUAGAAACAACACUGUAGUAAAUAAUGCUUUGAAAUUGAACCUUUGUGCCCUAUCACCCAAUGCUCCAAAGUCAUAAUUGCAUUGACUUUCCCACCAGAUGCUGAAAAUGUCCUUGUAAUACGCACGUAAAGUACUUGUAGUUCCACUUAUAGCCUCUGUCUGGCAAUGCCACAGCCCUGUCAGCAUGAAUUUGUAAUGUCUUGAGCUCUAUUAUGAAUGUGAAGCCUUCCCCUUAUCCUCCCUGUAACUUGAUCCAUUUCUAAUUAUGUAGCUCUUUGUCAGGGAGUGUUCCCUAUCCAAUCAAUCUUGCAUGUAACGCAAGUUCCCAGUUGGAGCUGCAGCCUAACAUCAAAAAAGGCAGUUACCAUUAAACCAUCUCCCUGGUG
rnacentral:lncRNA from 1 species